UGCAGUUCAGAUGUGUGCUAUUCCUAUUAGUAACUCUGGUGUUUUUGCUACUGUUUAUUGAGUUGGGGAUAGGAAGGAACCAUGCUAAGAUGUGACCAAUGAGAAGUAAGAGAGCCUAUCUGUGUUCCCAGGAGCCAGUCCUGUACUAUUCUGUAGUCAGGUGACUGUCUGGGGGGGCUCCAGUCAUUCCAGUGAAAAAAUCAUUUCCCCUCUGACCCCAAAAGAGUUGGCUCCAGAAGACUGGGAUCAAUUUAAAUGUUUUGCAUUGCAUCUACUUUUACAAAAAGAAAAAAAAGUAUAUAUAUAUAUAUAUA